rnacentral:lncRNA from 1 species
UUUGACUUGAGUGGUAAUGUGACCCCUAUCAGAGUCACCGAGAAGCUUGGACAGGCCAAAAUCAGCAACUCUUGCGUUUAAGCGAUCAUCCAGCAAAAUAUUGUUGGACUUGAUGUCCCUGUGUAUGAUGGGAGGAUUGACAAGGUCAUGCAAAUACUGUAAGCCUCUGGCUGCUCCAACAGCUAUCCUCAGUCGCCUCAUCCAAUCUAACCUGAUCCCNUUAAGCGAUCAUCCAGCAAAAUAUUGUUGGACUUGAUGUCCCUGUGUAUGAUGGGAGGAUUGACAAGGUCAUGCAAAUACUGUAAACCUCUGGCUGCUCCAACGGCUAUCCUCAGUCGCCUCAUCCAAUCUAAC